AGAGUUUGAUCCUGGCUCAGGAUGAACGCUGGCGGCGUGCUUAACACAUGCAAGUCGAACGGGAAAUAUUUCAUUGAGACUUCGGUGGAUUUGAUCUAUUUCUAGUGGCGGACGGGUGAGUAACGCGUGGGUAACCUGCCUUAUACAGGGGGAUAACAGUCAGAAAUGGCUGCUAAUACCGCAUAAGCGCACAGAGCUGCAUGGCUCAGUGUGAAAAACUCCGGUGGUAUAAGAUGGACCCGCGUUGGAUUAGCUUGUUGGUGGGGUAACGGCCCACCAAGGCGACGAUCCAUAGCCGGCCUGAGAGGGUGAACGGCCACAUUGGGACUGAGACACGGCCCAGACUCCUACGGGAGGCAGCAGUGGGGAAUAUUGCACAAUGGGGGAAACCCUGAUGCAGCGACGCCGCGUGAAGGAAGAAGUAUCUCGGUAUGUAAACUUCUAUCAGCAGGGAAGAUAGUGACGGUACCUGACUAAGAAGCCCGGCUAACUACGUGCCAGCAGCCGCGGU
rnacentral:rRNA from 1 species